GGGAAAAAGGUCUAAAAAUGAAAAAUGUAUUUACUGAAAAUUAAGUGUAAUGACUGAAAUUUAAACAUGUGAGUUAUCUAGUGGGUAAGUCACUAAAAGAGUGCCCAAGGGGCCUCUUAUUGCUAAGGCACAUGAAUGCAAGUCAGGAAAACAAAAGAAUGGUUAGUGCAAUUGAUAGUACACAUAACACAUUGGGAGCAAUAAAAGAAAUACAAUAAAAGCAAAUAAAAGGGGUGGAGCCCCUUCCCUCGUGCCUAAUGUGCUUAAUAGGGUAAGGUCGACUCUACCCUAGGCAAGUCUAACAUGGAUGCAUGAGGC
rnacentral:lncRNA from 1 species